UACGGAGGGUGCGAGCGUUACUCGGAUUUACUGGGCGUAAAGCGCAUGUAGGCGGUUUGGUAAGUUUGGUGUGAAAGCCCACGGCUCAAUCGUGGAAGUGCAUUGAAUACUACCAGACUAGAGUUCAGGAGGGGUGAGCGGAAUUCCCGGUGUAGAGGUGAAAUUCGUAGAUAUCGGGAGGAACAACGGUGGCGAAGGCGGCUCACUGGACUGAUACUGACGCUGUGGUGCGAAAGCGUGGGGAGCAAACGGG
rnacentral:rRNA from 1 species